rnacentral:rRNA from 1 species
AACGAACGCUGGCGGCAUGCCUAACACAUGCAAGUCGAACGAAGGCUUCGGCCUUAGUGGCGCACGGGUGCGUAACGCGUGGGAAUCUGCCCUUUGCUUCGGAAUAACAGUUAGAAAUGACUGCUAAUACCGGAUGAUGUCGCAAGACCAAAGAUUUAUCGGCAAAGGAUGAGCCCGCGUAGGAUUAGCUAGUUGGUGGGGUAAAGGCCUACCAAGGCGACGAUCCUUAGCUGGUCUGAGAGGAUGAUCAGCCACACUGGGACUGAGACACGGCCCAGACUCCUACGGGAGGCAGCAGUGGGGAAUAUUGGACAAUGGGCGAAAGCCUGAUCCAGCAAUGCCGCGUGAGUGAUGAAGGCCUUAGGGUUGUAAAGCUCUUUUACCCGGGAUGAUAAUGACAGUACCGGGAGAAUAAGCUCCAGCUAACUCCGUG